GUUGGACAAGGGAGCAGCUCAUAUUUAUUGUGGGACCUCGAGAGGCCAAGGAAUCAGCUGCUCCUGUCCGUGUGAGCAUUCCUGUUCAGUAUCAUGAUGCAAAAUGAAAUGCACAUCAAUUAUUACGGAAAACUUUAAAACCAGGCCUCUUUAGUAACAGAGAGUUGUGUCUUGGAGGGACUAAAUCCACCAAAAUAUCCUGGGAAAGCCUAAGAUCAGCCAAAUUGCAGCAUAACCUCCCAGCAUUCUGAACAGAAGCAAGAGAGCAGGAAAAUGGUGCCAGUCUCUAACUGUGUGGAACAGGAUAAUGAGGCAAGUUUCUCUCCAUGGUCUGAGCCUUCUUCAGGAUAUGAUAAUUGAACUGAUCUUACUCUACAGACAUGGAUGGAUUUAUGAACCAAAUGGAUUUUGUUCACUGAGUAGACUAAGCUCCUGGAAGAAAAAAAAACCCAAACCUGUAUAAAUGUCCUUGUUUGAAGAAGGAAGAUGUGUAGAGAAGGAGAAAGGAGCUCAGAGAAAGAAAACAUGGGUUCAAUGACAAAGACAGCUGGAUGCUGCCCUGAGGAAAAGAGUCCUGUUGAAAUAGGAGCCAAGCCUAAAAGAGUUAACUGAGAUAUCUUGGCCUGAUAAGAAACCUCAAUACCUGUUUUGCUAGAAGAACAUUUUAGGAGCACUGGUUAAUAUCAUGUUCUGUUCUGCUCACUGGACCAAAGGCCUUAUUAUAGAAAGAAUAGGAGUAGUACACACACAGUAAUAAAUUAGGUAAACUAGACAUUUCAAUAAGAUCUAGAAGGCCCAGAGCCAGGAUUCUGCAAGCUUGAAGAAUUCAGGUCACCUAAUUGAAGAGGUCAAAUUGAGGAAGACAUCCAUGGCAA